AGUUACCAGUUUUUGUACAUUAGACUUAUUCCUUCAAUUAGUGAGAAAAAAAAUUCUAUGACUCUGUAUUCAAUAGAUCCUCUCAUUAGUAAUGAAAGUUGGUGUGAUAUUUCAAGACUCAUCCUAUAUUUUGUAUUUCUGCUGUCAUCACAUCACUUUGGCUGAAAAAUAUGUCAAAAUUUUCUCAGUUUUAUUAUCAAAGACAUUUUUUUGUUUCCUGCUGAGUCCUCCUUGCACUCAACGUCAAUGAGUAAAAGAUUCUGGUUGUGAUAGUCAUUGGUGUUUGCUUUUUGUCGUAAGAUACUGUCUUUUCUACUUUCUGAGACGUACCACACUUUCGUGAUAAAAGUUAACCAAUUUCAAAGUAGAGUUAUUUUCUCUCUGCAGUGUGACGUGCAAUUAUUUCUUUUUUGUUUGUGCAUUGAAUAGUUUCCCUUUCCUCCCCCCUCACUGAAUCAUAAAAUAGGUGAAGCUGCAAGUAGCACAGCUUUGCCUGUUUAGAAAACUUUUGAAAGCUGAAGUAAUCUAGACUGAAAACUGAAGUUAGACUCCCUAGAUUAGACUUUCUUUCAUUCAAAUAAUUCAGUUUGAUAAAACAUUAAUAACCUCAGUUACGCUCUCUGCAGUUUCACGUGAAUUUAUAGCGGCAGCCGCUUUAAUUCAAAUUAUAAUUUUUCUUUUCUGUGUUAAUUUAAUGUACAGUGAAAUGUUGCUAAGUCAAACUGCCGUUAAGAUGAAACCCAGCUUUAGUUGAAAAUUCUUUCGGUUCCAAUGCACAGCUGUAAGCUGCAAUGUAAAACAAGAAGACACAUCCAACAUGAAUGUUGGAAAAGCAUGCCGAACAACUGAAAUGUUGGAGAGAUACUAUUUUCAUGUCUUUGCUAUUUGUAUCUAUUGGUACGUUUUGCUAAAUUUAGAACAUAUUAAUUCACGAAUGUUGAAUGUAAAUCAACUUCAUUUAAAAAAGAAAAUAAUAGCAUUAACUCGGGUGAACAUGUUGCUGAUUGUACGUAUGAAGGAAGUUUUUUCCAGUAUUUUUGUUUAACUUAUUAACUCCCGAGAAAGUGUUCAGACAUUUUUUAUUUCAAUUAUUCACUUUGAUGAUCGGUUUAAAACAUUCAACACAAUCGCUAAAAAACAACAUCUCUUGGCAGGACUCAAACCCCUGUUGUCAGAGAUCAGUAUAAUCACAUGCGAUUGAGCAGAGGUGUAGACAACGGAGCCAUCACGACAUUCUGAAUAACGCAAAGAAAUAAGAGUAUUAGAGAAUCGUAGACAGACUAGGUAUUCGUUCACCGUUGUGGGCCGGUGGGCAAGGCUUCACUGCCUUGGCCCUUCGGCAGCUGUCAUGGUUAUAAAGAAAGGAUUAAGCUCAUUUCUGUAUGAACUGUAGUUAGCACAUGCUUUUGGGUCUCUUGAGGUUCAUCCCAGCAUGCAUUCGCUGUCACGGCAGUUGAGCUGAGGCAAUAUUUGCAUUUCCAUGAAUUAAACCAAUCAAUCCGUUUCUGAUUUUGGCUUCUAUAGCUGUAAUGGGUCCUCUAGAGCAACUUUCCACCUUGUACAAUGGUUAUUAUUUUUUAUUUUUAUUCUUAACAUUUGAAGUGGGAUAAUGGCAGCCUCUCAAGAGCCACCCUAUGUUUAUCCUCUGUUGAUCGAACAAGAACAUAUAUAAAAGAAGCUCAUUGGCUACAAAGUUGCGGCAGGAUUUAAGGUUCUAAAUUUGAGUUGUCCGAGGGUAGAAAAGCUUAUUUGAGCUUUCUUUCAAAUUAAAUAUUACGGUUUUGACAGAAAAAUGUUCUCACGGGUUUCCCCUGAGAAGUUAAUUCGGUUUCUUGGUGAAUGAUUAUCAGGGCUUGACAGUUCAACGGUUCAAACACAAAAAAACGGAUCCAUCGGAAAAAUAAUUUUGACUGCCCAUUGAAUAGCAUUGGUUUAUCGGUGUGCUGUCUGUGCUAUACUAUGGUACAUCCAAGUGAUUUUAAAAAGCAAGCCCUACUGGCAUGCUUAAAACCACAACCAAGACAAAUUUGUAACUUUUGUUGGGGAAGAAAAUUCUCAGUAAAUCUGACAAAAAUGCAAUUUCAUACAUAGAAAAUCAAGAGACAGGAGUGAUUUAUAUAAAGAGGAAUGUUUCCAAUAAAGUUUUAUGAUGAAUGAUGAUGUACCCACCUGUGUUUUAAAGGGAGUACACAAGUUACAUCUUUAAAGUCUGUGACUCGGGUUGUCCUUUGAUGAUUUGUUGAUGUUGAUGACACUUCACAUUUUCAAUUUAAGAAUUUUCAUUUAAUCAAAUGCAUUUCAAGCUGAUUUCGUGUCAACUGAUAAAGUGGAUAAAAUGAUAAACGUCCACGCCCAAUAAAUUUACGCACUCCUAGACUGCGACAGAAGAUCCUUUGACGUUACUUCUAUGUGUUAAGUUGAUCCAAUAAGCAAGAUGGCAGAUCUUCUGUCGCACUCUUAAAGUGUUUAUUUGGCGUGGAUUCUAGCUGCUUCAGUCAAAGUUUCUCUCAGCCCCCAGACAAUGCGACUUAGCGAUAUUUCACUGUAAUUGCAGUCUGUACCGCCGAUUUUGAUCAACUCGGGCAAGGCAAAAUUGGGCAAGAAAAUUAUUUCCUUCAAUUUUUUUGUUGUAUAAUUUUAAUGUUCUUUCCUCGGUAUCCAUAUUUGAAUGCCUUGCUUCAAAAACUGCCUAAUUCUGUAGCAAUGACUCAGUUUUCUUGUAUGUUUUCAUUGAUGAAAAGAAAACCAACAAUCAUUCGUUUCACAAUUUCUCAGCAUUUUUUUCCAUGAAAUUUCAGAACAUUUCCAUCAAACCCAUUGUCUAACGUGUUUUAUUAAAAUUAUGAUGUAAAAAGAUAAACUAAAAUGUUGCCUUGGAGUUUGACAGUUUUCAAAGCAAACCACUCAUUCAUGAUUUGUGGACGCUAAUAAUUUUACAAAAUAAUUUGUAGUCAUGAUGGUGCUUGAAUGAUGCUAGUGGAUUAGAUGUCUGCAAUUUGUCAAACUAAUCUCAUUUUUAGCCCACCUUUUUUAUUUUUGUUUGUCCGUCUUUAACAGUUUAAAAUGGUUUUUUUUUCGUUGAUAAUGUUUACCGUUUUUCCUCGUUCCCUCUUUGCUUAGUUUUGUUGUAAUGAUGGAUGCUUUAUUUUGUGUUAUUUUAUAAAUGUAGAAAUUAAUUCACUGAUUCUCAAUUUUCCAAGAUCUUGGGAUUAUUUUUAAAGAUAUGUACCUAUUGCCAAUUCUACAGCACACACUUUGUUUCUACUUGAAUCGAAUACAAAUAUGGACGUCAAUUUCAAUCUUAUUUUAAAACUCAAAAACUAGAGCAGUGUACAAUGGAUCACCAGGCAAAGUGCAAAUUUAAUUACAAAUUAUGAUGUAUGUUUUAUUAUCAAAAUUUUACACAGAACAUUUUCUUAGUGGUCCAUUUCAAGAUUUAUGUGAAGUAUUGUGAAUGAAUUACGCUUUCUGUUUUAGACUGAAUUUUUCUUUUUAUCAUCACAAAUUUAAAGUUACGAAUUAAAUUUUCUUUUUCCUCAAGAAUCAAACUUUCUUUUUUUUGUGUGAGGAACUUAGACUUGAAACAAUUUUCUUGCAAACAAAUAUUUUCAAAAUGUUAUUGGGCCUCUCAGAAAUAGUUCUAUUACAUCACUAUUACAUAUACCCUUAUUUGCCCUUUCACAACAUAAUUUCGUCAAAUCUCUUUUAAAUUUGUUUUAAGUGAACUGCUGCACAAAUUUGCACACAAACAACACAAAAAUGUUGCAAUUUAUGUAUCAAUGAAAGGAAAAUUAAAAUUCAACAAUUAUGUAGCAUGGUAUGUAAUUCUUGUUCUUUUGGUGUCUACCUUACCAAAGAGCGUUGAUAACAAGAAAACCAAGGGAAUUAAUUCGACUACGAAAAGUCAAGAAGUUUCAUUAAAAAAAAAGAAUUGCUGUUUUCCUUGAUAGCAGUUUUUUAUUGUAUUUUUCAAUUUAUCACAUUCAAUUAUUCAAUUUAUGUGGCAAAAAUUAGAUGUAGCAUUCAGGUUGAAGUUUUAAAGUCAGUUUAAAUAAGGUGUAUGAAUGAAAAAGGAAGAAAUUACAAAAGAAAAAUGUCAUUUUGCCUAACAAAACACUUUUUGAAGGGAGUUUUUUUGCUCAAAACGUCGCAAACUUCCCUUCCCUUCUGCUACUUUUCUACGACAAAAUGUAUCUUAUCCUACAAAAACUAUCCACUAUUCUGCCUUAAGAACUUCACUUAUAUUUAAGAAAAUUCAAAGAAUUUUGUGUGUCGUUACUGUCUUUCACUGCUAAGAACCUGUUAAAUGUUAAACCCUCCUUGACCAGCUAAUAAGUUCUCAUUUUCUCAGGUGCAGUACAGUAAAGCAUGUUUUAAAACAAAGGGAAAGAAAAGUUCCUGAACCCAUGAUCAAAGUAAUCAUCUCAUUAUCUGUAAGAAAAUUUAGAUACUUCACAUUAACACCCAAGAACAGGAGAUCAACUCUCAGCAACAAUCUUAUCGGAUGCUAUGAAUGUUUCAUGACAUCUGAGUCUAUUAUCCACUCCCCUAUCAAUAAACUUAAAUCGAAAGGCUUGGAGGACAAGGCGCAUAAGUGCAGUUUUUUAAAAAAUUGAGGUAUCAAUGACUUCAAGUAAAACUAGCCUUAAUGCAUAUUCUAGGAAGAAUCAAAAAGUCCACUCAAACUUUUUUUCCACCAUAAGGAUCGGUGUAAUCUCAAAACUUCAAACACGUAUUUCUCGAAAUAGCAAAAACUGCACUCACGCGCCUCGUCCACCAAGCCCCUCAUUUCUAAUUAUGAUGCCCAAGAUUCCUCUGUCCAAGAAAAAUGGAAGAACACAGAAAUCACACCAAAUAGCACUUGUGUAUGUAUGUUUAAGCGAUUAAACUCUGAACAACUGCAGAUGCACCUACAUCUCAUAUAUUCAAGCGCUUUCAUUUCAAGAUCAUUCCUGUUUUUACUUUACUUUUAAUGCUUGAGAUUAAAAAUGGCUCACUCAAUGAAGUUAUCUCUUUGUCUCUCGAAAAUCUUCUCUAAAUUUAGUUCAAGUUAAGUAGGUAGUAAACGUUUGCCAAAUAAAUAGUGGACUCCUCCUUAAUUGCCUAGC